ACGUGUUAAAAAUUAACAUUAUUUUAAUACUACAGGAACUAUACCUAAAAAAAUUCGAUACUAAUUAACAACUGUUAACAAUACUUACAUAAAUAAUAACUGUUGUAACUAGUCAGUUUAUGUAAAAGUUAGCUUUGUAACAUUAUAUUGUUAUAAAAUAUUAUUAUAAUAUUGCAAAAGAAUAAAAGAACAUUGUGCAACGUUCCAAUUGCAACGUUCAAGUGCUGCUUUUUGCUUUUGGCCAACGUUCUGAUGCUAACGGCCAAUUUCUUUUUGUUGCAACGGUCCUUUGCAUUUCCUAUAAAUAUAGUAUCUCAUUUCUUACAUAAACAAAUCUUCAAUCUCUACUUUCUCUCUUAAAAUCUUUCUCCUUCUCUCCUUUUCGAUUUUGUCAGCAAUUCUUACAACACUUUGUUCAUCGUGUCUCUGAAUCCAUCAAGCUUUCAGCUUCUUGGUGACCUCUCCGACGUCUAAAUGGACGUGGCAAUCACUGUUGUCCAUUAAGCAUGGAUUCCGAUUUCAUGAACCUUAAAAAAAGAUCAAUGUUGGAAGGUACGAGAUUCAUGUCCUAUCAUAGUAACGUGAUAUUACAAUCAUGCUGAACCGAAAUUAUUUACACAGGACACAAGAUUUACCAUUAAAUGUUAUACCUGCACACUUGGAAUUUGAUGAGCAGAUCAUCUCACCUCAUUUUGUGCUUCACUUACUACAAAUAACUUCUCAUCGUUGUUAAUCAUGUCUACGUAAAGAACUUUUCCACCUUUCUUCUGACAAAAUGUAGGAAUUGUUCCUAGUUUCCAAAUGUUUCCCUGCUUCCUUUAUAAGUUCUUCAAUGCUUUGUGGAACCCAUAGGAGUGUUGCAUUAUGUGAGAGUUAAAAACCAGGAAAAGAAAAAGGAUAAACAUAAGAAUCGUGAAAGGAGUGUUGCAUCAUGUGAGAGUCAAAAACCAGGAAAAGAAAAAAGAUAAACAUAAGAACCCAUGUUAAAGUUUUAAAGUUAAAAUAAAAAAUUAUUUAAUUUCUUAAGUCUGAGUUGUCAGUAAAGGGUCCACAAAAAUGGAGAAAUGGAGAGAACCCAAAAUUAGUUUUUUCAUUAAAGAUGACCUUAGCUGUACCAAUAAUUAUAUAUUCUGACUUACAUGCAUCAUCAUAACUUGUGAUAUUGAUAUUUCUGGCUUGAGAAAUCUGUGUGAUCUAUUCUUUGAAUGUGAACUUAAAAGCUUAACUCAAUCACACUAAAUUGAUUUGUGUGCUGAGGAUUUUCCAAGUUUUAGAAGAACUACUUAGCAUUUAUCUUUAGUUGAACGCACGAUGUCAUCCUCCUAAGAGAUUAUAGCUCGUUGGUUGCACAGGAUGAUGUUUCACUCAACCUUUUUGGUUAGCUUCUUCACAACAAAUUCUGAUAAAUGGUAUUAAGGCAGAAUAGUGGUAUCACAAUUUAGGAGACUCUCCUAUGGUAAUGUAGGUGGUUUAACAAUGAACUUAGUAUAAAUUUUGUUUCACUGAACUUUGAAAAAUUGACUUCUAUGAGCACUACAACCAAAGGUAGACCUUAUUGAGACAUUUACAACCAACUCUAAUAAAUAGGUUACAAUUAAGGUGAGCUGGAGGUGAUUGCUAUUAUGGGUUUCCAACACCCUAGCACUCAUUCCCUAGUGAUGGGCUUGGAGCUUGACUAGCGAUCCCGAUCACUUAAGUCUUCUAGUGAGCAAAUCACUAGCAAUCCCGGGGCGGUUAUCUAAUUGCACGAAGAUAGAAACUUAAAGCUUACAGAUCGCACAAGAUAGUUGAAGCAAAAGGGAAACGAAGCCAAAAUUCAUCACAGAUGCUUUUACAAACGAAACAAAACAGUAAAAAAUAGAGUCCCAAGUACAAUAUAGAAAACAAGACAAAAGAAAGUUACAACCAAACAUCAAAAGCUAAGUGUCACUAGGAGCAGUUUCCUCAACAGGAGCGAUGACAUUCUGAUCGGGUUGGGGGGAGAUGUCUCUUCAGGCUCGGGAAGGGCAAGAACAACUAAUUGAAAUCGGAGAGAAUUUGGAAGAAGUAAUGGCAUUGAGAUAUACCUUGUUCAAACCCCCUGAGAUGUUCAUUGCAGAUCUCAUUCCCCAAGGCUUUGUUCUCGACAAUCAUUUUCUCCUGAGUGGCAACUAGAGCAUCCCUUUCUCAGGUCAAAUCUGUUAUUUUCGAAGCAUUAUUCUGCAUAUCCAACUUCAGGCCCUCAUUAGCUUUCUUCAUUUCCUCAUUUUGGUUGUUGAAGCUGUCGACCGACAUGUUGAAGCUGUCGACCGACACUCCGCUCUUUGGCUAAGGUUGCAGAAUAAUUCUGCCUGCCACUCUUCCUCAGCAGCCUUUUGAAGCUCUUCUAUGCGUAGGUUUAACUCUUCGUUGGAUUUUUUAGCCUUCUCUAAAUCCAGCCGAGCCAAUUCCAACUCCUCGGCAAUAAUGGAAUUAGUAGAACCAGCUACAUAGGCUAAACAUAAGUUAGCUCGGACGUUUAGCUCGUAUAUUCACUGCGGUCAUCCCGUGAAAAAGUUUUUUCUCUUCUGGAUUAAGGCGGUAUUCCAGGCGAUCCGCCAAGUGCACACUGUGGUCAAACAACCAACAGAGGGCCUUCGUGAGAGUUCUUCUCUUCUUAUCUUUUGUAGCUUUUCUUUUUUUUCCCCUUGUUGAAGAGAAACAUCAUCAAGAGAAGCUUGGAAGACGGGAUUCACAUAAACCUUAGUUGGUUCAACUCGAGGAAGAUUGGAAGACGAUUGUGCAGGUGCAGAAGAAGUUCCCACCCCAAAUUUCUUUAAUUUUGCUAGCUUGCGAGACAUCAUCAGCAAGAAAGCUUUUUCUUCAUCUUAUCUGAAAAGUAUUACAAAUGACAAUCAUAAAAAACAAUCACGAAAGCUUACCGAAUACUCUAGAGCAUAGAGACUUGGAACCCAUAAGCCCGAUGAGGACGCGUGACGAGGUCUUUCGGGGUAACUGAUCUAACUGGUUGAUGCUAUCCACUUCGGGAGUAAGAAUAAAUUUCGGACGGGAAAUUACUUUCUUUGGAUGUUCGGUCCAAUAAAAUGGAAACUUUGGUCGACCAUCGUUCAUGUAGAAGCUGGAUCGGUUUUCCUUGAUUGCUAUUUUGCAAAAUCUAGUCUUGAACUCUUUAUAAGAGGAAUUGAACAGAGUAAACAAUUGUUUACCCUUCACGGGGGAUAGAGAAAUCUAAGAUUUAUUCUAAGAUUUAUUCGACUGAGGGAUAGCACGAAAAAAGUACAGAAAGGCGAACGACCUUAGUGGCAAAGCUAGGGCGGUGGAAACUACGACAAAUGUUUGCAUAUAUCCCCAACCAUUUGGAUGCAGUUGGGUCGGAGCAACGUUCAAAUCGCGCAACACACUCAUUUGAAACUCGAUGAAUGGUAGUCGAACACCCAAAUCCAAAAACAGUGUGGUAUAAAUAUAAAAGAAGUCAGUCCCUCACGUCCAUGACAGGCACACUCAUUGGACCGACAAACCGUCAGAUGAAUAUCAUGGGCAUCUUUAGCAUAAGACACGAUAUCGACCUUACUGGUUAAAUACCCAAGCGAAGCACCAGUAACGUAAUAGGGUGCAUACAAGCCUACCUCGUUCUGAGCCCAGUCCUACCAGUGACAGGAGGCGGCGGGGCGGCGUCCGUCCACUCUCCGGCAGUGUCGAACUCAAGAACAAUGUAUGCCCCUUCAAUUUCCCGGCCACUGGUUUCCGCAGAACCUAGGAUUGAGGAUCCUGCAGAGGUGCUGUGAUGAUGUGUCUCGUCAGCAUACCCCUGACCCUUGCCGGCAACCUCGUCGAAAGAGAAAGACGAAGACAACUAAAUAAAGAUUUCUGAAUAACUGAAAGAUGAAGAAGCAAAAGGAGCCAACUGGUUAUGGGGAAGAAAGAUUCAUUUAUAUCAUGUAAAAACAUGUUUCUGAGAACAAAUCGUGGCCAUUCAUUGAGACAAAAUUAGACGGCUAGGGAUGCGAGACCCUUCGUAUUUGCAGAGCACGAAUCCCGCUACUACACGUGCCUUCCUUUUCCACAACUGUUCAUUUCAAACCCUUCGUGUCCAUUAGGCCUCUCGGGCUUGGGGGGCUUAGGGUAUUGUGGGAAUAUUCGAAAAUGACACGGCCAUGAUUAAUUUCUCUCAUACUUGAUUAUGUAGAAAUUAAUGGCUCCUUUUGCUUCAUCUUUCAAUUAUUCAGAAAUCUUUUUUCAGGUAACUAUGUCUUCAUCUUUCUCUUCCGAUGAGGUCGCCGACGAGGGUCAGGGGUAUGCUGACAAGACACAUCAUCACAGCACCUCUGCAGGAUCCUCAAUCCUAGGUUAUGCUGAAACUAGUGGCCGGGAAACUGAAGGGGCAAACAUUGUUCUUGAGUUCGACACUGCCAAGAGUGGACGAACGCCGCCCCGUCGCCUCCCGUCACUGGGUAUGACUGGGCUCCACACGAGGUAGGCUUGUAUGCACCCUAUUACGUUAUUGGUGUUUCGCUUGAGUAUUUAGCCAGUAGGGUCGAUAUCGUGUCUUCUGCUAAAGCCCAUGAUAUUCGUCUGACGAUUUGUCGGUCCAAUAAGCGUGCUUGUCAUGGAGGGACACAAUACUAACUUCUUUUAUAUUUAUACCACGCUGUUUCGGGAUUUUGGCGUUCGACUACCAUUCACCGAGUUUCAAAUAAGUGUGUUGCGCGAUCUGAACGUUGCUCCGACCCAACUGCAUCCGAAUGGUUGGGAUAUAUGCAGACAUUUGACGUAGUAGCUUUGCCACUGAGCUCGUCCUCCUUUCUGUACUUUUUUCGUGCUAUCCCUCAGUCGAAUAAAUCUUGGAUUUCUCUAUCCCUCGUGAAGGGUAAACAGUUACUGUUUACUCUGUUCAAUUCCUCUUAUAAAGAGUUCAAGACCAGAUUUUGCAAAAUAGCAAUCAAGGAAAACCGACCCAACUUCUACCUGAACGACGGUCGGCCAAAGUUUCCAUUUUAUUGGACCGAACAACCAAAGAAAGUAGUUUCCCGUCCGAAAUCUAUUCUUACUCCCGAAGAACUGGAUACCAUCAGCCAGUUAGAUCAGUUACCCUGAAAGACCUCGUCGCGCGUCCUCAUCGGGCUUAUAGGUUCCAAGUCUCUGUGCUCUAGAGUGAGUAUUCGGUAAGCUUUCGUGAUUGUUUGGUAUGAUAUCCAUUUGUAAUUUACUUGAGUAUCUUCUACUUUUUAGAUAUCUUCGAGAAGAUGGAGAAAAACAAAUUCUUCUUGAUGAUGUCUCGCAAGCAAGCAAAAUUAAAGAAAUAUGGGGUGGGAACUUCUUUUGCACAAUCAUCUUCCAAUCUUCCUUGGGUUGAACCAACUAAGGUUUAUGUGAAUCCCGCUUUCAAGAUAGUUCUGUAUUCAUCUCCUUCCACUACUCCCCCAGUUGUCGCUUCUCCUGAUGAUGUUUCUCUUCAAUAAUGGGAAAAAAGGAAAGCUACAAAAGGUAAGUCAGUAUCUUCGGGCAAAAAGAAGGGAAGAACUCACGAAGGCCCUUUGUUGGUAGGGCCGUUCGACCACAAUGUGAACUUGGCGGAUCGCCUGGAAUACCGCCUUAAUUCAGCAGAGAAAAAACUUUUUCACGGGAUGACCACUGGUGAAGUAGUGAAUAUGGCCUACGAGCUAAACGUUCGAGCUAACUUAUAUUUAGCCUAUGCAGCUGGUUCUACUAAUUCCAUUAUUGUCGAGGAGUUGGAAUUGGCUCGGCUGGAUUUAGAGAAAGCUCAAAAAUCUAACGAAGAGUUAAACCUGCGCAUAGAAGAGCUUCAAAAGGCUGCUGAGGAAGAGUGGCAGAAGUAUUCUGCAACCUUAGCCAAAGUGCGAAGUGUCGAUCGACAGCUUCAACAGGCCAAUGAGGAAAUGAAGAAGGGCCUGAAGUUGGAUUUGCAGAAUAAUGCUUCGAAAAUAACAGAUUUGACCUGAGAGAGGGAUGCUCUAGCUGCCGCUCAAGAGAAAUUGAUUGCCGAGAAUAAAGCCUUGGGGAAUGAGAUUUGUAACAAACGUUUUAGGGGGUUUGAACAAGGUAUUAUCUCAAUGUUCAAAUUCCCUCCGAUUUCAAUGACUUCGACGUUAUGAAGGAUGUGGUGGACGGGGAAUUAGUUGUUCUUGCCCUUCCCAAGCCUGAAAAGACAUCUCCCCCCAACCUGAUCAGAAUGCCUCCGCUCCUGUUGAGGAAAUUGCUCCUACUAACACUUAAUUUAAAUCGAAUGGAAACUAUAUCGACAUGGAAAAUAUUUGAUGAUAAGGUUAGCCUUUGUUGGGCCCAUUUUUUAAUUAUUAUUAAUUGAUGAUGGAAAAUUAGAAAAGGGGACCUGGGUUGUUUCCAUGUGGCUAGGAACUUUUUUAUCUUUAAUGUAAAGGUCGUUCUAUCCGUACUACUCAUAUUGUAUUUUUAAGGAUGCCCUUAAGAUUGCAAAACUUGUUCUUUAACAAUUCGAACGUCAGUGGGAGUAGCUUUCUAAUUAAACGGAACUUUGGAAUCUCAAUACAUAAUGAGAGUAACUUUUAAUGAAUUGGAACUUUCUAUCAUUGGUCCGAAUUGUAACAAAUUUGGCACUUGGUAUUGAAGUCAUAGAACUUGGGAAUGUUGAAGUAUUAUUGGGUUGACUUGGCCUUUUCUUUUUUUAAAUGCAGGAGCUAUGAACAUGGUGUGACAAGAGUGGUGAAAAUGAGGAUAUUUAGUGGUAGAAACAUGGAAAGGAAGCGGAGGAAUCAAAGCAUGGAUAUGGGUUGAUGGUGGUGUUCGGUAACAAUGGAGAUUAAUGGAGAUUAUUAUAGAAGGCGAAGAUGAUUGUGAUUGAACACGUAUUGGCUUCAAGUUUAAGAUGGAAUAUGAUUAUAGAUUAGAUAGUGAUGGAGAAUGGGAAAGACUCAUGCCACAAUAUCAUAUACAAAUAUCCAUCACAUAGUAGGAAUGUAUUCAUCAGCAAUCAUAUGCAAACAUAGCAGCAUAGUAGUAGCAUCGUAACAAAAGGAUGUUCAAGGGCAGGCAAACAACUCAGUGAAACAUGGAGUGCAAGGCAUUGCUUACCUCUUGGAGAUCCCUUUGCUAUUGUCAACCUUGUGUGCAAUACUUUCUCUUCUAUGUGUGGCUGGCUUUCUUUUGUUCUUCUCCUUCUUUGGCUGACUUUCCUUUUGUUCUUGUAGGUGAGAUAUGACUAUGGUUCCAGGGUUGAAUGAUCUUUGGUGAGGAUAAUGAAGAGAGUGUAAUUGUGAGAGAUGAUUAUUGGAUGUUCUUUUUGUUUUUGUAUAAAAAUGGCUUUUUGAGGUUUUGAUAGUUGGAAGAUGGAUUUUUGUUCUCUAGAUCAGUGGAGUGAACGGUUUCUGUUAAGUAUAUCUUUUUUUGAAGAUGAAGGAGAGGGUGUUUUUUUUUUAAUCAAUUGCUUCAGGCCCUCAUGAGAUAUUGGAGGUGAGGAAAAAAAAUCUGUUUACGCUGCGAUGGUCAGAUAUUGUAGGUGUCCCAGUCCGGACUUCUUACUUUUUCUCUUUUUUGAAUGAAUUUUCAAAUUUUUCCUUUUUGCAUAUGCCUUUCCCGUGCUACCCUUUCUGCUCUUCUUUUCGACGGGUCUCUUUAUCUCUUCUCCAAAUUGAAUUUUCUUUUCUGGUUCCUACACCUUGCGUGAGGAGGCUAAAGCCUGACACUCCUUUGCUUCCUGCUCCAGCCACCUCUGCUGCUUGUCCAUUCCUUUUUCUUCUUAAGGCAAUCAGCUAAAAUAAUUUAGGCUUGAAACCACUGAGCUAAAGAUUUUCACCCAAAAUUUGGUGACACAACUUGAUAGAAAAAGAUUUGAUUUAGAAAAGUUGAUAGUAUUUGAGACAGAGAAGAGCGGACAAAUGCAACAGCUUAUCACGCUUUUCACGCUUUUUUUGUUUUGUUUUUUUGUUAUUUUUUAUAAGUUUCGAUUUUUUUUUUUUGUAAAUAAGGGACUAAAUAAAAUACAGUAAAUUAAACUAAUAUUAAAAUACUAAUAUAAAACGAAAUAAUAUUGUACAUAUAGUAAAAUAUAAAAUAAUAAAAUAAAAUAAAAUAAUAAUAAUAAAGUAAAACAAACAUAAAAUAACAACUAAAAUAAUAAUAAUAAUAAUAUAAUAUAAUAAAGUAAACUAAAGAACUAAACAAUAUAAAAAUAAAAUAAAAUAAAACAAAAUAAAAAAAGACUUAUUUUUCGGGACAAAAUUAGAUGUUGACAAUGAACAAGUGAGAGAGAUGGUUGAGAAUCUUCAUUUUCAGAUAUAGAUUUAGGAAUAGAGUAUAGGAUUAUCAUUUGAUGGAACUGACAUAUGGGAUGGAUUACAAGGACAAAGACAUAUUUUGAAGUGCAAGACUCUGUAGAAAAGGUGAAGGUCCGAUUGGCCAAAGACAUAUUUUGAAAUGCAAAACUCUAUAGAAAAGGUGAAGGUCCGAUUGAUUGGCCAAACUGAGUAUGGAAGGGGCAACCAUUCAUUGGUUCAAUCUUUUACAAGAAGCAGAAGUGGAAUUGUCGUGGUUCAAUCUUCUACAAGUCCGGAUUGUCUUUUCAAAUCCAUAUUUUUCUCGUCCAUUCAUCAACAAAAAUACUUGUAACUUCCAGUUGAUAAUUAAUAAUACUAAUAAUUAUUCAAAUGUAUUUCCCUUUUUUCCCUCUCACUGGUUAAGAAAAAUUCUAUCAAAUUGGUGUGUAUCCAAGUAAAAUGUAUCAAAUUAAAUAUAUAUGUUUUUAAUUUGUUAACUAUGUAACCCUUUUGUUUAAAAUGCUGCUGUUUUAAGUUUGUUUUCUUACAUUUAUUUAAUAUAAGAAUAAAAUAAUUGAGAGAAUAAAUUUUUAUAUUUUUUCAAGUGGAAAAUACAAAAUAAAAAAAUAAUAUCAAAUAAAUAUAAAAAAUUUACGUAUGUUAAAAUAUUAUUAUUAUUUUUUUUUUAUAAUUUGAAAGAGUGCAUAAAGUAAAAACUUUCUUUCUCCACUUGAGGCCCAUAUUCAAAUAUCGUUUUCUUUGUUAUGGUUUUUAUAAAAAAUGUUAUUUUUUAAAGAUUCCUUGGUUAAGCCACUAGUCCUAUAUAUUUUACUCACGUUUUCAAGUUUUUGAGAUUCAGAGCGUUAAAACCAGCGCCAACAUGGCAAAAGAACAAAUCUUUAUCAUAAGAAAUGAUUAUGAACAAAAGAUGUGCAUUUAACCUUGAAUAUCAUCCUGGUUCGAUGCUUUCUUGAGGAAUUCAAGAACGGCUGUGUCGUCAAUCUGAACUGCGAGAGGUAGAAAGCAAGUGAAAGAAAGAGAUAUAUGAAGUAUAAGGUUUUGUUAACUUGGUCUUACGAGUAAUAACAUGGUAGAAGAAGCUUUGGGACUUGAUCAUAUUGAGAAUCCUUCGAUUCUCUUAACUGUCUUGCUAAGACAGUCUUUCACUGUUUGUUAAACAGUGGUUAGUUGUUAGGUUUUCGGUUUUCUUAUUCUUCCCCUGGAAAUCUAUAUAAACAGACUUCCUCUCCCCUUUUCCCUUUAUCAGAAACAAUUUUACAUUGCAUUUUCGUAUGUUCAUUCAAAUAAUAAAAGGAGAAGUUUUUCAUACUCACCUUGUCACGAUCUUCAUUUCUCUCUUCUACGUCGACGGCAACCGCCGCCGUGCCGGAGCUCUGCCGGCCACCGUCUUCCUUCUCUCUGUGUCUGGAAGUAUCUCUCUCUAACUCUGCCUUCAUCCUCAG
rnacentral:lncRNA from 1 species